rnacentral:lncRNA from 1 species
UGCAAUUUUUUUUUCCUCCUAACGCCAUGGGAUGGUUCAAUGGCGACCUCCUCCAAAUGGUUUCGUCAAUUUCAAUAUUGACGGGGUUGUGGGGGUAUAGGAGGAGUCAUGUUCGACACAAAAGGGCAGAUUUUGCUUUAUUUCCCUAACACCUUGGGGACUCUGGAGUCUGCAAUGGUGGUUCUUUUAUGCAGUUAGAGGGUUCUAACCAUUUUUAAGGCAUCAAGGUGGUUUAAUUCUAAUAAAGUGAUCAUUGAAUUGG